rnacentral:rRNA from 1 species
UACGGGGGGGGGCAAGCGUUGUUCGGAAUUACUGGGCGUAAAGGGCGCGUAGGCGGCCGAUCAAGUCAGAGGUGAAAGCCCAGGGCUCAACCCUGGAAUUGCCUUUGAUACUGUUCGGCUAGAGACCGGAAGAGGUUAGUGGAACUGCGAGUGUAGAGGUGAAAUCGUAGAUAUUCGCAAGAACACCAGUGGCGAAGGCGGCUAACUGGUCCGGUUCUGACGCUGAGGCGCGAAAGCGUGGGGAGCAAACAGG